rnacentral:rRNA from 1 species
UUUAAUUGAAGAGUUUGAUCAUGGCUCAGAUUGAACGCUGGCGGCAGGCCUAACACAUGCAAGUCGAGCGGCAGCACAGAGAAACUUGUUUCUCGGGUGGCGAGCGGCGGACGGGGGAGUAAUGCCUGGGAAAUUGCCCUGAUGUGGGGGAUAACCAUUGGAAACGAUGGCUAAUACCGCAUGAUAGCUUCGGCUCAAAGAGGGGGACCUUCGGGCCUCUCGCGUCAGGAUAUGCCCAGGGGGGAUUAGCUAGUUGGUGAGGUAAGGGCUCACCAAGGCGACGAUCCCUAGCUGGUCUGAGAGGAUGAUCAGCCACACUGGAACUGAGACACGGUCCAGACU